GGAGAUACUGGCUACGGAGCAAGCAUGUUGCGUAUAUAGAAGUCACCGCCGGCGCUUAGCUGAGGGCGCAGUCGACGGUAUGGCCAGGACCACGGGUACUGCUGUCAGAGUGGAGGUGGUGGUGUUGGCCGCGAUGGUGGUGGUCGUGGCUCUGACGACGCCUGCGACCUGCCAGAGGUCUGGCGCCAAUCCAGGACGAGUGCGGUGCCCGGCCUGCAGGCCAGUGGACCGGCGCCAGUGCGCCUCGCUCGGGGGCGUUGUCGUCGUGCCUGGAGGGCUCUGCGGCAAGUGCCCCAUCUGCAGGCUCGUCGGCUAACGACGUGGCAAGCCUUCAACAUUCUCCUCUUCAAGCACGUGAAUUUACGAAACUAACACAGCGAACCUGAGAUGAAACGGUCCCGCACAGGGUGGUCUAAGGAGCACGAAAGAGAAGAACAGUGACAUCUCACUUACAAAGAAAAUGUUGCCCAGACCGAAUGAUUGUAGUAAAAACAUUAAUCAACCUGUUUUGCGAAACUCU